GAUCAACGCUGGCGGCGUGCCUAAUGCAUGCAAGUCGAACGGGUUCUGGGUUCGCCUGGAGCCAGUGGCGGACGGGUGCGGAACACGUACGAGACCUGCCCUUCAGUGGGGAAUACCCCUCCGAAAGGAGGGCUAAUGCCGCAUACGGUCGUCUGGGUGAUGCCGGACGAGGAAAGCCUUUGUGAAAGAAGGGGCUGAAGGAGGGGCGUGCGGCCGAUUAGCUGGUUGGUGGGGUAAUGGCCUACCAAGGCUGCGAUCGGUAGCUGGUCUGAGAGGA
rnacentral:rRNA from 1 species